rnacentral:rRNA from 1 species
GUGGGGAAUUUUGGACAAUGGGGGCAACCCUGAUCCAGCCAUGCCGCGUGCGGGAAGAAGGCCUUCGGGUUGUAAACCGCUUUUGUCAGGGAAGAAAUCCUUUGGGUUAAUACCUCGGAGGGAUGACGGUACCUGAAGAAUAAGCACCGACUAACUACGUGCCAGCAGCCGCGGUAAUACGUAGGGUGCGAGCGUUAAUCGGAAUUACUGGGCGUAAAGCGUGCGCAGGCGGUUUUGUAAGAUCGAUGUGAAAUCCCCGGGCUCAACCUGGGAACUGCAUUGGUGACUGCAAGGCUGGAGUGCGGCAGAGGGGGAUGGAAUUCCGCGUGUAGCAGUGAAAUGCGUAGAUAUGCGGAGGAACACCGAUGGCGAAGGCAAUCCCCUGGGCCUGCACUGACGCUCAUGCACGAAAGCGUGGGGAGCAAACAGGAUUAGAAACCCGAGUAGUCC